rnacentral:rRNA from 1 species
CCUACGGGCGGCAGCAGUGGGGAAUAUUGCGCAAUGGGCGAAAGCCUGACGCAGCGACGCCGCGUGAGGGAUGAAGGUCUUCGGAUCGUAAACCUCUGUCAGCAGGGAAGAACGGUCACUGUGCUAAUCAGCAGUGAAUUGACGGUACCUGCAAAGGAAGCACCGGCUAACUCCGUGCCAGCAGCCGCGGUAAUACGGAGGGUGCGAGCGUUAAUCGGAAUUACUGGGCGUAAAGCGCUCGUAGGCGGUAUGUCAAGUCAAGGGUGAAAUCCCCGCGCUCAACGUGGGAACUGCCUUUGAAACUGGCAAACUGGAGUGUGUGAGAGGAUAGUGGAAUUCCAGGUGUAGCAGUGAAAUGCGUAGAUAUCUGGAGGAACAUCAGUGGCGAAGGCGACUAUCUGGCACAUAACUGACGCUGAGGAGCGAAAGCGUGGGUAGCAAACAGGAUUAGAUACCCUAGUAGUC